rnacentral:lncRNA from 1 species
CCCGUUUCUGUUUUACACGCACACGCGUGUCUGUCCCCGCAGCGCUCCGCUCGGGCUGGCUCCGCUGGCAGCAAGGGCAAGCCCAGGCGCCCGCAAGAGUUCUGCACGCAUGCAUCAUGUGAGCCUGCCUCUCUGUUAUGGGGCUGAGCAAGUCGGGGGCAAAUACCUCAAUGGAGCCGCGAGAGAAACCCAGAUGCCCAUGGCGUUUUCCACUGCCUUUCCCCUUAGCCGGGCACGUUUCCUUCCAGCCACGAGCUGGUGCGCAGCAGCAGCAAUUCCCAUGUCUGUCUGUCUGUCGGCUGCUGGCCUGAGCUGCGUGUUACCUACGUCCCCAUCCCUUCCCCCAGCCUCCAGCCAAACAAAGGGAGCGAGGAAAAAAGCAGCCCAGGAAGUGUAAAGUGGAAAGCGACCCUCUUCCUAUUUGAUGACAGCGCCAAUUCCUUCGGGAUCCCACCUGAGAUUAAAGCCCGAAUUUCAAUAAAUCAGCUCUAAUGAAACCUCUGGCCCCGAAG